GUAAGUUUGUAUGAAUAUUUGUAGGUUUUCACCAUCUAGCUAGUUAUUUUUCCACUAACGACCAACUUUUUGCAAUACAUUGACGAUGAUAGACGAUGGUAGGCGUAUUAAGUUAAGUUAGGCAUGCAUAGAUGUAGUUAGCUAAUCAAUAUGCCUCACUGACUUCAAGUUCAGAUGCAUUCGACUGCAAUACCACGUCAAGAACUUAGAAGUAAUAGAGUUGAUAACGAAAUUCAUUUAAAUUAUACAUUUCAGACUUGAUUUAUUUGUUAACACCGUGCCAUGUAUGGGUUAGUGAUAAUUGAAGUUGUUCGGCCGGGUGGGUGACGUUGGGUUAACGUACCAAAAUGUUAGCAAGUUAGCUUGACAACGUGGUUUCUGCCCAAGUUGAAAUAAUUUGCAAGAUGAUAUGUUGUCGUGCUUGACUUGUGCCUGUCUGAAACCAGACAUUGAGAGUAAUUUCAACAAUUUCUGAAUGGCAAGAAAGUCAUUAGAAAGACACGAGGUUAUACUCUCAGCUAACAAGUUUAUUAGCACCCCGUAUAUCAACCUAUUGAUACUGUAAGAGGAGAUUUAUUUUUGUGAAUAAUUGUGUAAAAGAAAAUAUGAUUUCUAUGAUGGUUAAUGAUUUGAUAAAUAUAUUCUUUAUAUAAUUAUUUAGAUUGGGGAACUACUUCUUCCUGUGUAGUUUGUAUCCAUAGGGUUCACCGUAGUUAGGUUGGGCGGAGUGAUACGCCGCACACGAGGCUAGUUUCAAGUUUGUUACCGGCGACAAGGGUGCAACUUGUCUGUUUUCUUGAGCGGAGAAUAAAACAUAUACAAGUUGCUCUGAAGAAGCUGUCCCCGUGCUGUUCUUACCCACGACCCCAAAAAUAGACUUUAUUAAGAAAAUGCUGCUGCGUGUCUCGUUUGGCGGAGUGCAGAAGUACAUGAAGCUGCCUGAACUAACAUUCGGUGAUUUCUUGAGAGAAGUGAGUCUAAAAUUUAACAUUGCUGAAGACAGACGGUUGGACAUCAAGGUUUAUGACCA
ensembl:lncRNA